AUUGAACGCUGGCGGCAGGCCUAACACAUGCAAGUCGAACGGCAGCACAGAAGAGCUUGCUCUUUGGGUGGCGAGUGGCGGACGGGUGAGUAAUGUCUGGGAAACUGCCCGAUGGAGGGGGAUAACUACUGGAAACGGUAGCUAAUACCGCAUAACGUCGCAAGACCAAAGUGGGGGACCUUCGGGCCCCACACCAUCGGAUGUGCCCAGAUGGGAUUAGCUAGUAGAUGGGGUAAUGGCUCACCUAGGCGACGAUCCCUAGCUGGUCUGAGAGGAUGACCAGCCACACUGGAACUGAGACACGGUCCAGACGCCUACGGGAGGCAGCAGUGGGGAAUAUUGCACAAUGGGCGCAAGCCUGAUGCAGCCAUGCCGCGUGUAUGAAGAAGGCCUUCGGGUUGUAAAGUACUUUCAGCGGGGAGGAAGGCGGUGAGGUUAAUAACCUCGCCGAUUGACGUUACCCGCAGAAGAAGCACCGGCUAACUCCGUGCCAGCAGCCGCGGUAAGAC
rnacentral:rRNA from 1 species